UAUCCUGUUCUAGCGGUUCUUGUCUUCCCCCCUUUCCCAGCACAAGUUGGGUGGCAACAGAGGAGCACUUGGUCCCCGUGAAAGACUAGAGCAGCUUUCAGUCUUCAUCAGAGAAGCCUCUUUUUUGCAGUGGAGAGUGAUUAAUACAGAAACCAACAACUAACUGGACAGUAUGAUGCAUGCUUCGUGUGACCCAGACAUAGGUCAUUUCCUGCCAUCCCAGAAGAGAGCUGCUUUUGUGUGUUACAGGCCUUGUGUGACCCAGACAUAGG